UACGGGGGGGGGCAAGCGUUGUUCGGAAUUACUGGGCGUAAAGGGCUGGUAGGCGGCCAACUAAGUCGGAUGUGAAAUCCCCAGGCUUAACCUGGGAACUGCAUCCGAUACUGGUCGGCUUGAAUCCGGGAGAGGGAUGCAGAAUUCCAGGUGUAGCGGUGAAAUGCGUAGAUAUCUGGAGGAAUACCGGUGGCGAAGGCGGCAUCCUGGAC
rnacentral:rRNA from 1 species